rnacentral:rRNA from 1 species
UGGGGAAUAUUGGGCAAUGGGCGAAAGCCUGACCCAGCAACGCCGCGUGAGGGAAGAAGGUUUUCGGAUCGUAAACCUCUGUCCUUGGUGAAGAGGAAGAGACGGUAGCCAAGGAGGAAGCCCCGGCUAACUACGUGCCAGCAGCCGCGGUAAUACGUAGGGGGCGAGCGUUAUCCGGAAUUAUUGGGCGUAAAGAGUACGUAGGUGGUCCGUUAAGCGAGUGGUGAAAGCCCGGGGCUCAACUCCGGCGAGCCAUUCGAACUGGCGGACUUGAGUGCAGGAGGGGAAAGUGGAAUUCCUGGUGUAGCGGUGAAAUGCGUAGAUAUCAGGAGGAACACCGGUGGCGAAGGCGACUUUCUGGACUGUAACUGACACUGAGGUACGAAAGCGUGGGGAGCAAACAGGAUUAGAUACCCUGGUA